rnacentral:rRNA from 1 species
UACGGGGGGAGCAAGCGUUGUUCGGAUUUACUGGGCGUAAAGAGCGCGCAGGCGGUCGAUCAAGUCGAGUGUGAAAGCCCCCGGCUCAACUGGGGAGGGUCAUUCGAUACUGAUCGACUCGAAGGCAGGAGAGGGUAGUGGAAUUCCCGGUGUAGUGGUGGAAAUGCGUAGAUAUCGGGAGGAACACCAGUGGCGGAAGGCGAACUACCGUGGCCUGUUC